ACAUGCCUACAACAUAGCAUUAAUGCACCGGAUCCCAUUAGAGAUUAGUAGUUAAGUUCACUCGGGCUAGAGUAGUACUAGGAUUGGUGACCACCCAGGAAGUCCUAGUGUUUUACAUGCC
rnacentral:rRNA from 1 species